rnacentral:rRNA from 1 species
GUAAUACCGGCAGCUCRAGUGGUCGUCGCUUUUAUUGGGCCUAAAACGUCCGUAGCCUGUUUGGUAAAUCUGUGGGUAAAUCAACCAGCUUAACUGGUUGAAUUCUGCAGAGACUGCCAGACUAGGGACCGGGAGAGGUGUGGGGUACUCUAGGGGUAGGGGUAAAAUCCUGUCAUCCUUAGAGGACCACCAGUUGCGAAGGCGCCACACURGAACGGAUCCGACGGUCAGGGACGAAGCCUAGGGGCACGAACCGGAUUAGAUACCCGGGUAGUCCUAGGUGUAAACGCUGUGAACUUGGUGUCGGGAGUCCGCAAUGGGCCCCCGGUGCCGGAGUGAAGAUGUUAAGUUCACUGCCUGGGGAGUACGGUCGCAGUAAUACCGGCAGCUCRAGUGGUCGUCGCUUUUAUUGGGCCUAAAACGUCCGUAGCCUGUUUGGUAAAUCUGUGGGUAAAUCAACCAGCUUAACUGGUUGAAUUCUGCAGAGACUGCCAGACUAGGGACCGGGAGAGGUGUGGGGUACUCUAGGGGUAGGGGUAAAAUCCUGUCAUCCUUAGAGGACCACCAGUUGCGAAGGCGCCACACURGAACGGAUCCGACGGUCAGGGACGAAGCCUAGGGGCACGAACCGGAUUAGAUACCCGGGUAGUCCUAGGUGUAAACGCUGUGAACUUGGUGUCGGGAGUCCGCAAUGGGCCCCCGGUGCCGGAGUGAAGAUGUUAAGUUCACUGCCUGGGGAGUACGGUCGCA